rnacentral:rRNA from 1 species
UAGGGAAUCUUCCGCAAUGGACGCAAGUCUGACGGAGCAACGCCGCGUGAGUGAAGAAGGAUUUCGGUUCGUAAAACUCUGUUAUUAGGGAAGAACAAAUGUGUAAGUAACUAUGCACGUCUUGACGGUACCUAAUCAGAAAGCCACGGCUAACUACGUGCCAGCAGCCGCGGUAAUACGUAGGUGGCAAGCGUUAUCCGGAAUUAUUGGGCGUAAAGCGCGCGUAGGCGGUUUUUUAAGUCUGAUGUGAAAGCCCACGGCUCAACCGUGGAGGGUCAUUGGAAACUGGAAAACUUGAGUGCAGAAGAGGAAAGUGGAAUUCCAUGUGUAGCGGUGAAAUGCGUAGAUAUAUGGAGGAACACCGGUGGCGAAAGCGGCUCUCUGGUCUGUAACUGACGCUGAGGCUCGAAAGCGUGGGUAGCAAACAGG